rnacentral:rRNA from 1 species
GGACGAACGCUGGCGGCGUGCCUAAUACAUGCAAGUAGAACGCACAGUUUAUACCGUAGCUUGCUACACCAUAGACUGUGAGUUGCGAACGGGUGAGUAACGCGUAGGUAACCUGCCUGGUAGCGGGGGAUAACUAUUGGAAACGAUAGCUAAUACCGCAUAAUAUUAAUUAUUGCAUGAUAAUUAAUUGAAAGGUGCAAUUGCACCACUACCAGAUGGACCUGCGUUGUAUUAGCUAGUAGGUGAGGUAACGGCUCACCUAGGCGACGAUACAUAGCCGACCUGAGAGGGUGAUCGGCCACACUGGGACUGAGACACGGCCCAGACUCCUACGGGAGGCAGCAGUAGGGAAUCUUCGGCAAUGGACGAAAGUCUGACCGAGCAACGCCGCGUGAGUGAAGAAGGGUUUCGGAUCGUAAAGCUCUGUUGUAAGAGAAGAACGGGUGUGAGAGUGGAAAGUUCACACUGUGACGGUAGCUUACCAGAAAGGGACGGCUAACUACGUG